rnacentral:piRNA from 1 species
UGUGAAGAUUUUGAAUACUUU